ACCUGGCUGGCUCACUCGGAAGAGCAUAAAACUCUUGAUCUUGGGGUCAUGAGUUCAAGCCCCAUGUUGGGUG
rnacentral:tRNA from 1 species